rnacentral:lncRNA from 1 species
UAACACAGGUGAAUUUGGGCCCCCUCCCCAAAAGACGUUUUUUCUCAUCAUCGGCCGAGUGUCCAGACUUUUACAAGGCCUAAUGGUGACUCCUACAGUGGUUGACACCGACUACCAUGGGGAGAUAAAAAUCUUAGUCACCUUUACCCUUAGGGCUGGAGAGCGCAUAGCCCAAGCCCUACACUCCCACUAUUCGGCCAUUUCCCUUAUUUGAAAGAGGAGCAAGGACCUUCCUCCCUGGGAUGCUCAGAAGUCUACUGGGCACAGAAAAUAACUGAUUCAUGGCCCAUGCCGACUUUGUUUCUAGAAGACAAACAGUUUCAAGGGCUCCUGGAUACCUGGGCAGCUGCGACAGUAAUUUCCUCAACACAUUGGCCUGCAGCCUGGCCCUUACAGCCCACUA